rnacentral:rRNA from 1 species
UACACUCCUGCGGGAGGCAGCAGUGGGGAAUAUUGGACAAUGGGCGCAAGCCUGAUCCAGCCAUGCCGCGUGAGUGAUGAAGGCCCUAGGGUUGUAAAGCUCUUUCACCGGUGAAGAUAAUGACGGUAACCGGAGAAGAAGCCCCGGCUAACUUCGUGCCAGCAGCCGCGGUAAUACGAAGGGGGCUAGCGUUGUUCGGAUUUACUGGGCGUAAAGCGCACGUAGGCGGACUAUUAAGUCAGGGGUGAAAUCCCGGGGCUCAACCCCGGAACUGCCUUUGAUACUGGUAGUCUUGAGUUCGAGAGAGGUGAGUGGAAUUCCGAGUGUAGAGGUGAAAUUCGUAGAUACUCAGAGGAACACCAGUGGCGAAGGCGGCUCACUGGCUCGAUACUGACGCUGAGGUGCGAAAGCGUGGGGAGCAAACAGGAUUAGAAACCCUUGUAGUCCCAUG